UACGUAGGGGGCAAGCGUUGUCCGGAAUCAUUGGGCGUAAAGGGCGCGUAGGUGGUUCUGUAUGUCUAUCGUGAAAGCGUACGGCUCAACCGUAUUUUGUCGGUAGAAACUGCAGGACUUGAGGCUGGGAGGGGCUGGUGGAAUUCCCUGUGUAGCGGUGAAAUGCGUAGAGAUGGGGGAGAACACUCGUGGCGAAGGCGGCCAGCUAGACCAGUUCUGACACUGAGGCGCGACAGCGUGGGGAGCAAACAGG
rnacentral:rRNA from 1 species